rnacentral:rRNA from 1 species
AACGAACGCUGGCGGCAGGCUUAACACAUGCAAGUCGAGCGCCCCGCAAGGGGAGCGGCAGACGGGUGAGUAACGCGUGGGAAUCUACCCAAUACUACGGAAUAGCUCCGGGAAACUGGAAUUAAUACCGUAUGUGCCCUACGGGGGAAAGAUUUAUCGGUAUUGGAUGAGCCCGCGUUGGAUUAGCUAGUUGGUGAGGUAAAAGCUCACCAAGGCGACGAUCCAUAGCUGGUCUGAGAGGAUGAUCAGCCACACUGGGACUGAGACACGGCCCAGACUCCUACGGGAGGCAGCAGUGGGGAAUAUUGGACAAUGGGCGAAAGCCUGAUCCAGCCAUGCCGCGUGAGUGAUGAAGGCCUUAGGGUUGUAAAGCUCUUUCAGUGGGGAAGAUAAUGACGGUACCCACAGAAGAAGCCCCGGCUAACUUCGUGCCAGCCGCCGCCGUAACAC